AAAUUGAAGAGUUUGAUCAUGGCUCAGAUUGAACGCUGGCGGCAGGCCUAACACAUGCAAGUCGAACGGUAGCACAGAGAGCUUGCUCUCGGGUGACGAGUGGCGGACGGGUGAGUAAUGUCUGGGAAACUGCCCGAUGGAGGGGGAUAACUACUGGAAACGGUAGCUAAUACCGCAUAACGUCGCAAGACCAAAGUGGGGGACCUUCGGGCCUCACACCAUCGGAUGUGCCCAGAUGGGAUUAGCUAGUAGGUGGGGUAAUGGCUCACCUAGGCGACGAUCCCUAGCUGGUCUGAGAGGAUGACCAGCCACACUGGAACUGAGACACGGUCCAGACUCCUACGGGAGGCAGCAGUGGGGAAUAUUGCACAAUGGGCGCAAGCCUGAUGCAGCCAUGCCGCGUGUAUGAAGAAGGCCUUCGGGUUGUAAAGUACUUUCAGCGGGGAGGAAGGCGGUGAAGUUAAUAGCUUC
rnacentral:rRNA from 1 species